UCGGUGGUGGAAAGUUUUUCGGUGCAGGAUGAGCCCGCGGCCUAUCAGCUUGUUGGUGGGGUAAUGGCCUACCAAGGCGUCGACGGGUAGCCGGCCUGAGAGGGUGGACGGCCACAUUGGGACUGAGACACGGCCCAAACUCCUACGGGAGGCAGCAGUGGGGAAUAUUGCACAAUGGGCGCAAGCCUGAUGCAGCGACGCCGCGUGGGGGAUGACGGCCUUCGGGUUGUAAACUCCUUUCAACCAUGACGAAGCUUUUUGUGACGGUAGUGGUAGAAGAAGCACCGGCUAACUACGUGCCAGCAGCCGCGGUAAUACGUAGGGUGCGAGCGUUGUCCGGAAUUACUGGGCGUAAAGAGCUCGUAGGUGGUUUGUCGCGUCGUCUGUGAAAUUCCGGGGCUUAACUCCGGGCGUGCAGGCGAUACGGGCAUAACUUGAGUACUGUAGGGGAGACUGGAAUUCCUGGUGUAGCGGUGAAAUGCGCAGAUAUCAGGAGGAACACCGAUGGCGAAGGCAGGUCUCUGGGCAGUUACUGACGCUGAGGAGCGAAAGCAUGGGUAGCGAACAGGAUUAGAUACCCUGGUAGUCCAUGCCGUAAACGGUGGGCGCUAGGUGUGGGGGUCUUCCACGACUUCCGUGCCGUAGCUAACGCAUUAAGCGCCCCGCCUGGGGAGUACGGCCGCAAGGCUAAAACUCAAAGGAAUUGACGGGGGCCCGCACAAGCGGCGGAGCAUGUGGAUUAAUUCGAUGCAACGCGAAGAACCUUACCUGGGCUUGACAUAUGCAGGAUCGGCACAGAGAUGUGUUUUCCCUUGUGGUCUGUAUACAGGUGGUGCAUGGUUGUCGUCAGCUCGUGUCGUGAGAUGUUGGGUUAAGUCCCGCAACGAGCGCAACCCUUGUCUUGUGUUGCCAGCACGUUAUGGUGGGGACUCGCGAGAGACUGCCGGGGUUAACUCGGAGGAAGGUGGGGAUGACGUCAAAUCAUCAUGCCCCUUAUGUCCAGGGCUUCACACAUGCUACAAUGGUCGGUACAGUGGGUUGCUACACCGUGAGGUGGUGCUAAUCCCUUUAAAGCCGGUCUCAGUUCGGAUGGGAGUCUGCAACUCGACUCCAUGAAGUCGGAGUCGCUAGAAUCGCAG
rnacentral:rRNA from 1 species